GACGAACGCUGGCGGCGUGCUUAACACAUGCAAGUCGAACGGAGAGGCCCUGCUUUUGUGGGGUGCUCGAGUGGCGAACGGGUGAGUAACACGUGAGUAACCUGCCCUUGACUUUGGGAUAACUUCAGGAAACUGGGGCUAAUACCGGAUAGGAGCUCCUGCUGCAUGGUGGGGGUUGGAAAGUUUCGGCGGUUGGGGAUGGACUCGCGGCUUAUCAGCUUGUUGGUGGGGUAGUGGCUUACCAAGGCUUUGACGGGUAGCCGGCCUGAGAGGGUGACCGGCCACAUUGGGACUGAGAUACGGCCCAGACUCCUACGGGAGGCAGCAGUGGGGAAUAUUGCACAAUGGGCGGAAGUCUGAUGCAGCAACGCCGCGUGCGGGAUGACGGCCUUCGGGUUGUAAACCGCUUUCGCCUGUGACGAAGCGUGAGUGACGGUAAUGGGUAAAGAAGCACCGGCUAACUACGUG
rnacentral:rRNA from 1 species